GAUGAACGCUAGCUACAGGCUUAACGCAUGCAAGUCGAGGGGUAACGAGAGGGAAGCUUGCUUUCCUUGUCGACGACCGGCGCACGGGUGAGUAACGCGUAUCCAACCUGCCCCCAACUAAGGAAUAACCUUGCGAAAGUAAGACUAAUACCCUAUAAUUUCCUCAGAUGACAUCUGACGAGGAAUAAAGAUUUAUCGGUUGUGGAUGGGGAUGCGUCUGAUUAGCUUGUUGGCGGGGUAACGGCACACCAAGGCAACGAUCAGUAGGGGUUCUGAGAGGAAGGUCCCCCACAUUGGAACUGAGACACGGUCCAAACUACUACGGGAGGCAGCAGUGAGGGAUAUUGGUCAAUGGGCGGAAGCCUGAACCAGCCAAGUAGCGUGCAGGAUGACGGCCCUAUGGGUUGUAAACUGCUUUUAUACAGGAAUAAAGUUAGCCACGUGUGGUUAUUUGUAGGUACUGUAUGAAUAAGGACCGGCUAAUUCCGUGCCAGCAGCCGCAGUAA
rnacentral:rRNA from 1 species